rnacentral:rRNA from 1 species
AGCGUACACGGUGGAUGCCCUGGCAGUCAGAGGCGAUGAAGGACGUGCUAAUCUGCGAUAAGCGUCGGUAAGGUGAUAUGAACCGUUAUAACCGGCGAUUUCCGAAUGGGGAAACCCAGUGUGAUUCGUCACACUAUCAUUAACUGAAUCCAUAGGUUAAUGAGGCGAACCGGGGGAACUGAAACAUCUAAGUACCCCGAGGAAAAGAAAUCAACCGAGAUUCCCCCAGUAGCGGCGAGCGAACGGGGAGGAGCCCAGAGCCUGAAUCAGUGUGUGUGUUAGUGGAAGCGUCUGGAAAGGCGCGCGAUACAGGGUGACAGCCCCGUACACAAAAAUGCACAUACUGUGAGCUCGAUGAGUAGGGCGGGACACGUGGUAUCCUGUCUGAAUAUGGGGGGACCAUCCUCCAAGGCUAAAUACUCCUGACUGACCGAUAGUGAACCAGUACCGUGAGGGAAAGGCGAAAAGAACCCCGGCGAGGGGAGUGAAAAAGAACCUGAAACCGUGUACGUACAAGCAGUGGGAGCACGCUUCGGCGUGUGACUGCGUACCUUUUGUAUAAUGGGUCAGCGACUUAUAUUCUGUAGCAAGGUUAACCGAAUAGGGGAGCCGAAGGGAAACCGAGUCUUAACUGGGCGUUAAGUUGCAGGGUAUAGACCCGAAACCCGGUGAUCUAGCCAUGGGCAGGUUGAAGGUUGGGUAACACUAACUGGAGGACCGAACCGACUAAUGUUGAAAAAUUAGCGGAUGACUUGUGGCUGGGGGUGAAAGGCCAAUCAAACCGGGAGAUAGCUGGUUCUCCCCGAAAGCUAUUUAGGUAGCGCCUCGUGAAUUCAUCUCCGGGGGUAGAGCACUGUUUCGGCAAGGGGGUCAUCCCGACUUACCAACCCGAUGCAAACUGCGAAUACCGGAGAAUGUUAUCACGGGAGACACACGGCGGGUGCUAACGUCCGUCGUGAAGAGGGAAACAACCCAGACCGCCAGCUAAGGUCCCAAAGUCAUGGUUAAGUGGGAAACGAUGUGGGAAGGCCCAGACAGCCAGGAUGUUGGCUUAGAAGCAGCCAUCAUUUAAAGAAAGCGUAAUAGCUCACUGGUCGAGUCGGCCUGCGCGGAAGAUGUAACGGGGCUAAACCAUGCACCGAAGCUGCGGCAGCGACACUAUGUGUUGUUGGGUAGGGGAGCGUUCUGUAAGCCUGUGAAGGUGUACUGUGAGGUAUGCUGGAGGUAUCAGAAGUGCGAAUGCUGACAUAAGUAACGAUAAAGCGGGUGAAAAGCCCGCUCGCCGGAAGACCAAGGGUUCCUGUCCAACGUUAAUCGGGGCAGGGUGAGUCGACCCCUAAGGCGAGGCCGAAAGGCGUAGUCGAUGGGAAACAGGUUAAUAUUCCUGUACUUGGUGUUAUUGCGAAGGGGGGACGGAGAAGGCUAUGUUGGCCGGGCGACGGUUGUCCCGGUUUAAGCGUGUAGGCUGGUUUUCCAGGCAAAUCCGGAAAAUCAAGGCUGAGGCGUGAUGACGAGGCACUACGGUGCUGAAGCAACAAAUGCCCUGCUUCCAGGAAAAGCCUCUAAGCAUCAGGUAACAUCAAAUCGUACCCCAAACCGACACAGGUGGUCAGGUAGAGAAUACCAAGGCGCUUGAGAGAACUCGGGUGAAGGAACUAGGCAAAAUGGUGCCGUAACUUCGGGAGAAGGCACGCUGAUAUGUAGGUGAAGCGACUUGCUCGUGGAGCUGAAAUCAGUCGAAGAUACCAGCUGGCUGCAACUGUUUAUUAAAAACACAGCACUGUGCAAACACGAAAGUGGACGUAUACGGUGUGACGCCUGCCCGGUGCCGGAAGGUUAAUUGAUGGGGUUAGCGCAAGCGAAGCUCUUGAUCGAAGCCCCGGUAAACGGCGGCCGUAACUAUAACGGUCCUAAGGUAGCGAAAUUCCUUGUCGGGUAAGUUCCGACCUGCACGAAUGGCGUAAUGAUGGCCAGGCUGUCUCCACCCGAGACUCAGUGAAAUUGAACUCGCUGUGAAGAUGCAGUGUACCCGCGGCAAGACGGAAAGACCCCGUGAACCUUUACUAUAGCUUGACACUGAACAUUGAGCCUUGAUGUGUAGGAUAGGUGGGAGGCUUUGAAGUGUGGACGCCAGUCUGCAUGGAGCCGACCUUGAAAUACCACCCUUUAAUGUUUGAUGUUCUAACGUUGGCCCCUGAUCGGGGUUGCGGACAGUGUCUGGUGGGUAGUUUGACUGGGGCGGUCUCCUCCUAAAGAGUAACGGAGGAGCACGAAGGUUGGCUAAUCCUGGUCGGACAUCAGGAGGUUAGUGCAAUGGCAUAAGCCAGCUUGACUGCGAGCGUGACGGCGCGAGCAGGUGCGAAAGCAGGUCAUAGUGAUCCGGUGGUUCUGAAUGGAAGGGCCAUCGCUCAACGGAUAAAAGGUACUCCGGGGAUAACAGGCUGAUACCGCCCAAGAGUUCAUAUCGACGGCGGUGUUUGGCACCUCGAUGUCGGCUCAUCACAUCCUGGGGCUGAAGUAGGUCCCAAGGGUAUGGCUGUUCGCCAUUUAAAGUGGUACGCGAGCUGGGUUUAGAACGUCGUGAGACAGUUCGGUCCCUAUCUGCCGUGGGCGCUGGAGAACUGAGGGGGGCUGCUCCUAGUACGAGAGGACCGGAGUGGACGCAUCACUGGUGUUCGGGUUGUCAUGCCAAUGGCACUGCCCGGUAGCUAAAUGCGGAAGAGAUAAGUGCUGAAAGCAUCUAAGCACGAAACUUGCCCCGAGAUGAGUUCUCCCUGACUCCUUGA